CGUGGUCCGAACGAGCCUGGUGUUUGGCAGUGGAGCCAGUGAUCCUAUCUGUAAACUAUGUGGGUGUUCAGAGUGAGGC